GUGACUGCGUACCUUUUGUAUAAUGGGUCAGCGACUUAUAUUCUGUAGCAAGGUUAACCGAAUAGGGGAGCCGAAGGGAAACCGAGUCUUAACUGGGCGUUAAGUUGCAGGGUAUAGACCCGAAACCCGGUGAUCUAGCCAUGGGCAGGUUGAAGGUUGGGUAACACUAACUGGAGGACCGAACCGACUAAUGUUGAAAAAUUAGCGGAUGACUUGUGGCUGGGGGUGAAAGGCCAAUCAAACCGGGAGAUAGCUGGUUCUCCCCGAAAGCUAUUUAGGUAGCGCCUCGUGAAUUCAUCUCCGGGGGUAGAGCACUGUUUCGGCAAGGGGGUCAUCCCGACUUACCAACCCGAUGCAAACUGCGAAUACCGGAGAAUGUUAUCACGGGAGACACACGGCGGGUGCUAACGUCCGUCGUGAAGAGGGAAACAACCCAGACCGCCAGCUAAGGUCCCAAAGUCAUGGUUAAGUGGGAAACGAUGUGGGAAGGCCCAGACAGCCAGGAUGUUGGCUUAGAAGCAGCCAUCAUUUAAAGAAAGCGUAAUAGCUCACUGGUCGAGUCGGCCUGCGCGGAAGAUGUAACGGGGCUAAACCAUGCACCGAAGCUGCGGCAGCGACACUAUGUGUUGUUGGGUAGGGGAGCGUUCUGUAAGCCUGUGAAGGUGGCCUGUGAGGGUUGCUGGAGGUAUCAGAAGUGCGAAUGCUGACAUAAGUAACGAUAAAGCGGGUGAAAAGCCCGCUCGCCGGAAGACCA
rnacentral:rRNA from 1 species